AGAAGCUGGGUAAACCUGCCUGAUGCCACAGAGCGACUAUGCGGUGGAAAUGGGAUAUGAACCCAGAUUCAGGCUUCAAAACCUGGGCUCCUAACCACCACGCUGUAUUGUGUCUGAGAAGUGGUUUCUGUCUAUCCACCGGCGGGACAGAAGGAGGGACACCAAACACAAGAGGGAGAGUGGGUCCCCACCCUCUGCUCCCUCUUCCUCAUCGCCCCCAGGGCCAGUGUUGAUGCCCCUUCUAAAAGCUGCUCCCCCCUCUCCCUCCCAGCAGCUGGCACCCUGGUUCUGUCCUUCCUUGCCUCUCUCUUGCCCCUGCUUGGACUGCUGCAGUAGCCUCUUAGCUGUCACCGUCCUCCAGUCUUCCCCCCACCCCUCCACACGCCCAGACACAGACACUGAGACAGUCAUCUUCUUAAAAUGUGAAUCUGGUCUUGUCUGUUCCAAAACCUUGGCGAGAUCCAAAUCCUAGCAAGCGAUUCCUCACUCAUUUAGCUGUUUCAGCACGUACCCUGCACCCGGCUCAGAGGAUGGAAAGGUGAGCAACCCCCAGUGUGUUCCGCAGCCACGGCCUCACGGAGAAGUGAGACUCCUCAGUGGGCAGCCUCUGCUGCCUUCUCCUCCUCUGCCCACAGUAUCUCUCUGCAGUAGGUACUUGAUUCUCAGACAGGCAUCUUCCUCUUCCCCCAUCCUCAUCAGCAAACUCCUUCCAGACCCUCCCUGACUUGGCCCCGGCUGCCGUGGAGGCUGGACUGCUGCAGGAAUGGGGUCUGGGCUUCUCCAAGGGUGCUGGCCAGGCUGGUUCUGGCGGGCAGUGGGACAGGUCCCUGACAGCAG